AUGAAAUCCAGCCCCCUACCUAAACACACACACACGUACACACACAUACAAACACACACACAAACACACACACACAUUUUGUGGGACAAACUUUUGGAGCUUAAAAUCCUGCAUUCUGAUCCAGGUUCUGCAAUUUACUGACAUGUUUCCUUGGAGGAAACACUUAACUUCUCUGAACAUCAGUAUCUCAGCUAUGAAAUGGAAGAGUAUAUACCACAAUGAACACCAGGGUAAUACAAGGCAGAUGUUCUUCCAACUCAGACCAGAACCUUCUAGUACCUCAAACCACCUGGGCCUGGUGAUAUGAAAGAGGGAAUCCAGGCCAACCUCAGAAGACCUGAUAGGAAAGAUCUUGGAGUCUGGUUUAGAUUGGUCUACCCUAAAAGUUAUAGACAUCUUAUGCAAAACUGCAUAAUAAAAUUUAUGUCUGAAAAUUAAA
rnacentral:lncRNA from 1 species